rnacentral:rRNA from 1 species
AUUCUUCCGCAAUGGACGUAAGUCUGACGGAGCAACGCCUCGUGAGUGAUGAAGUUCUUCGGUUCGUAAAACUCUGUUUUUAGGGAAGAACAAGUAUCGAUCGAAUAGGGCGGUACCUGGACGGUACCUAACUAGAAAGCCACGGUUAACUACGUACCAGCAGCCGCGGUAAAACGUAGGUGGCAAGCGUUACCCGGAAUUAUUGGGCUUAAAGCGCGCGCAGGCGGUUUCUUAAGUCUGAUGUGAAAGCCCACGGCUCAACCGUGGAGGGUCAUUGGAAACUGGGAAGCUUGAGUGCAGAAGAGGAGAGUGGAAUUCCAUGUGUAGCGGUGAAAUGCGUAGAGAUAUGGAGGAACACCAGUGGCGAAGGCGACUCUCUGGUCUGAAACUGUCGCUGAGACGCGAAAGCGUGGGGAGCGAACA